AUACGUAGGGUGCAAGCGUUAAUCGGAAUUACUGGGCGUAAAGCGUGCGCAGGCGGUUCGGAAAGAAGGAUGUGAAAUCCCAGGGCUCAACCUUGGAACUGCAUUCUUAACUACCGAACUAGAGUAUGUCAGAGGGGGGUAGAAUUCCGCGUGUAGCAGUGAAAUGCGUAGAUAUGCGGAGGAAUACCGAUGGCGAAGGCAGCCCCCUGGGAUAAUACUGACGCUCAUGCACGAAAGCGUGGGUAGCAAACAGGAUUAGAUACCCUGGUAGUCCACGCCCUAAACGAUGCCAACUAGCUGUUGGGCCCUUCGGGGCUUAGUAGCGUAGCUAACGCGUGAAGUGGACCGCCUGGGGAGUACGGUCGCAAGAUUAAAACUCAAAGGAAUUGACGGGG
rnacentral:rRNA from 1 species